GACGAACGCUGGCGGCGUGCCUAAUACAUGCAAGUCGAACGCAGUGGGGACGGGUGAGUAACACGUGGGUAACCUCCCAUCAGAGGGGAUAACACUUGGAAACAGGUGCUAAACCGAUACUGAUGGAUGGACCCGCGGUGCAUUAGCUCGUUGGUGGGGUAACGGCUCACCAGGGCCACGAUGCAUAGCCGACCUGGGAGGGGGAUGGGCAAAAUGGGGACGGAGACACGGCCCAGACUCCUACGGGAGGAAGCAGUAGGGAAUCUUCGGCAAUGGACGAAAGUCUGACCGAGCAACGCCGCGUGAGUGAAGAGGGUUUUCGGAUGGUAAAACUCUGUUGUUAGAGAGGCGGUAUCUAACCAGAAAGCCACGGCUAACUACGUGCCAGCAGCCGCGGUAAUUC
rnacentral:rRNA from 1 species